rnacentral:rRNA from 1 species
AGUGAACGCUGGCGGUAGGCCUAACACAUGCAAGUCGAACGGCAGCACAGUAAGAGCUUGCUCUUACGGGUGGCGAGUGGCGGACGGGUGAGGAAUACAUCGGAAUCUACUUUUUCGUGGGGGAUAACGUAGGGAAACUUACGCUAAUACCGCAUACGACCUACGGGUGAAAGCAGGGGAUCUUCGGACCUUGCGCGAUUGAAUGAGCCGAUGUCGGAUUAGCUAGUUGGCGGGGUAAAGGCCCACCAAGGCGACGAUCCGUAGCUGGUCUGAGAGGAUGAUCGGCAACACGGGAACUGAGACACGGUCCAGACUCCUACGGGAGGCAGCAGUGGGGAAUAUUGGACAAUGGGGGCAAGCCUGAUCCAGCCAUACCGCGUGGGUGAAGAAGGCCUUCGGGUUGUAAAGCCCUUUUGUUGGGAAAGAAAAGCAGCAGGUUAAUACCCCGCUGUUCUGACGGUACCCAAAGAAUAAGCACCGGCUAACUUCGUG